ensembl:lncRNA
GGGCACCUGGGAUACCACCCCAAGGCCCCAUGGUCCUAUGCAUGAGUGAGAAGUGCAAGAAAGAGAACAUUUUUGUGCAAAUUGCAAGCAGCAAUACUAAAGCAAGAAGAAGCUGUGUUCCUCUUUAGGGUCAGCCAAAAAGCCUGGCAGUAUGAGGGUGAAUGAGGCCAGGGUCCGUCAGAGAGGCUGCUGGGGAGGAACUGACUGUGAUUCACUCCAGGGGGGUGUUGAUAGGCAGUAAAGAGGAAGCCCAUACUUCCCACCACGCUCACUGAUGGCAGCGUUUGCAGUCACAGGGCACAGAGAAGAGGGAAAUUAAGAUACAGGAGUGGGUGCAAAAGGAAGGGGAAAUCAAAGCUUCUUCAUUUCCCUCCUUUGCCUCUGGUCCCUCAGCUUGACCUUGUGAGUCUCAAUUCUGUUGUGUUUCUUGGUGUUUGUUUUCCCUAGGGGUUCACCUGCAAGGACAGACCUCUGUGAAGAGAAUCCCUCCACCUAUUGCCGAAAAGAAUUCCUGCCCUGAUAGAGAUCCUGAACAACAUCAGCUGGCAGGCCAGGCCUGCUAUCCCUGCUCUCCCUGCUCUCCCUGCAUCCCUGCAUUGGUGCUACCUGGGGUGUCAUGGGUAGCCCAGGGACAGGUGGCUGCUCCUCGUCCUUUCUGCUGACACCAUCUGAGUAGUAACAGGUUUUACAAGGAACUUUGUGAACCAGAUCAUGUAACCAUUCCUGUCCUCUCAGUUACAUUUGCCUCACAGGAUGGCAGCAUUUGAUAUCUUAAAAGAUAAAGAACAAUUUUUGUAAGCAAAAAAAACCUAGAGAAGAUUGAUGGUGGUAUGAGGGAAGAUGGAAAUGAGCUCAAAACUAUAGAAAAGGCAAAAGUCUAAAUAAUCAGAUGAGUGAGGAGAGUUAUAGUGUGCAAGUGGAGAGUCACUGAGUCAUAUUUCAAGCUUGUACCAUAAAAUGACCUGUAACUAUUUCCCAGAAGGUGAUUAGUUUGCAUCAUUCAGAAGUUUUAUGAAGGAUGUUCAUUGGAACUCCAUGAGUAAUUAUUUUUUGUGUUUCACUGGCAAAUUUGGAAAGUCAAGAAGGCUCAUUUCAGUCAGACCAAAAGGAAAAAAAUCAAUUUAUUUUUGUGAAUAGAGAAGUAAAACAAGUAAUAAUUUGGAGGCUUCAAAACAGACAUUUAAUCCUAAAACAAUUAAGACCUGAUUUGGAUGGUGACUAUUUAAAUAUUGUUGAAUAUUGAAAAAUAGGGGAGUUUUGGGAGAAAAGUUAUACUUUGAAAGACAAAUAAAAUUCUUUAUUUUGAAAAAAAUUUGAGAAUUAUUUAAAUUGAAAUUCUGAUUUUUUUCCUUCUUAUUAAAGAAUAUGAUUUUACUGGCUAAGCUCCUGAAGUGUAUUACUAUCUCCUUUUGGAGAUAUCUACAUAGAUAUAUAUCUAACUUUUGGCUGCAGAGGUUUAUUUCAAAAACAAAAAAUCCAUUCCAAGGCUUGACAGUAUAUCAGGCAAAUCCACAUUUCUCAAGACUCCAGAGCCUGCAGCUCCAUUGUCCCCAGCUCCUCAGUAGCCCAGGGACUUUAACAAAACACUAACCAAUCACUGCCAAGUCACAGACAGAAAUUAUUGCUGCAUCCUCUCCAGAGCCUGCAUUUGCCAGCUGAGUGCAUUAUGACUUAGUACACAAUCUACCAUUAAAUAGCUUGAAAGUGAAACUACUCUGUUUCAGGAUGCAAUAUUAAAAGAGCAGCAAGAGAAGUGCUCUUACGGAGGAUUUGUAGUUAAACCCCUUCAAGCAGGAAUGGGCAAUGCUGUAGUUCUGUAGCUGAAGGAAUGGUAAUGAAGGGAGACUGAGUCCUGUUUAACCCCUCUAGCCCAAAGCCCUUGGUUCAGAGAUACCAUGUAUUUUCACUGAAUCAUGAUCCCUGGCAAAAAUCCAACACAGGCUGAUACAUGAAGCAUGUAGUAUUGCAGGAACAGCAAUUACUAGGCUGUGGCAGCAAAAUUUGUUGCUGUGCUUAGAUUAAUGAGAACCAGGCAGUCUGCUUUCUUCUACUUUUUCUAAAUGGCAUCAGUUAGCUGCUGACAUUUGAAACUCACAAAAAGUGGGUUAAUACAAUGGCCAUUUAAAUGAGCAAACAUAGCAAAAAACCUUAGGAAGUGAAACUUUCUCAAGAAGGCUUUUCUUAGCUAGAGUUGCUCUUGCUGAAAAAGGUUCCCCUCACCUUUUCCUCAUUUCACCCAUUAUUGGUUCUAGACAGAAAAAAAAGAAGAAAAAAAAAA